rnacentral:rRNA from 2 species
UGGUAUUGAUUGGUGCUUGCAUCAUGAUUUACAUUUGAGUGAGUGGCGAACUGGUGAGUAACACGUGGGAAACCUGCCCAGAAGCGGGGGAUAACACCUGGAAACAGAUGCUAAUACCGCAUAACAACUUGGACCGCAUGGUCCGAGUUUGAAAGAUGGCUUCGGCUAUCACUUUUGGAUGGUCCCGCGGCGUAUUAGCUAGAUGGUGGGGUAACGGCUCACCAUGGCAAUGAUACGUAGCCGACCUGAGAGGGUAAUCGGCCACAUUGGGACUGAGACACGGCCCAAACUCCUACGGGAGGCAGCAGUAGGGAAUCUUCCACAAUGGACGAAAGUCUGAUGGAGCAACGCCGCGUGAGUGAAGAAGGGUUUCGGCUCGUAAAACUCUGUUGUUAAAGAAGAACAUAUCUGAGAGUAACUGUUCAGGUAUUGACGGUAUUUAACCAGAAAGCCACGGCUAACUACGUGCCAGCAGCCGCGGUAAUACGUAGGUGGCAAGCGUUGUCCGGAUUUAUUGGGCGUAAAGCGAGCGCAGGCGGUUUUUUAAGUCUGAUGUGAAAGCCUUCGGCUCAACCGAAGAAGUGCAUCGGAAACUGGGAAACUUGAGUGCAGAAGAGGACAGUGGAACUCCAUGUGUAGCGGUGAAAUGCGUAGAUAUAUGGAAGAACACCAGUGGCGAAGGCGGCUGUCUGGUCUGUAACUGACGCUGAGGCUCGAAAGUAUGGGUAGCAAACAGGAUUAGAUACCCUGGUAGUCCAUACCGUAAACGAUGAAUGCUAAGUGUUGGAGGGUUUCCGCCCUUCAGUGCUGCAGCUAACGCAUUAAGCAUUCCGCCUGGGGAGUACGGCCGCAAGGCUGAAACUCAAAGGAAUUGACGGGGGCCCGCACAAGCGGUGGAGCAUGUGGUUUAAUUCGAAGCUACGCGAAGAACCUUACCAGGUCUUGACAUACUAUGCAAAUCUAAGAGAUUAGACGUUCCCUUCGGGGACAUGGAUACAGGUGGUGCAUGGUUGUCGUCAGCUCGUGUCGUGAGAUGUUGGGUUAAGUCCCGCAACGAGCGCAACCCUUAUUAUCAGUUGCCAGCAUUAAGUUGGGCACUCUGGUGAGACUGCCGGUGACAAACCGGAGGAAGGUGGGGAUGACGUCAAAUCAUCAUGCCCCUUAUGACCUGGGCUACACACGUGCUACAAUGGAUGGUACAACGAGUUGCGAACUCGCGAGAGUAAGCUAAUCUCUUAAAGCCAUUCUCAGUUCGGAUUGUAGGCUGCAACUCGCCUACAUGAAGUCGGAAUCGCUAGUAAUCGCGGAUCAGCAUGCCGCGGUGAAUACGUUCCCGGGCCUUGUACACACCGCCCGUCACACCAUGAGAGUUUGUAACACCCAAAGUCGGUGGGGUAACCUUUUAGGAACCAGCC